rnacentral:rRNA from 1 species
UGAGGAAUAUUGGUCAAUGGGCGCAAGCCUGAACCAGCCAUCCCGCGUGAAGGAUGAAGGCCCUAUGGGUCGUAAACUUCUUUUAUACCCCAAGAAGAAGCAGGACGAGUCCUGCCCCGACGGUAGUGUAUGAAUAAGCAUCGGCUAACUCCGUGCCAGCAGCCGCGGUAAUGCGGAGGAUGCGAGCGUUCUCCGGCUUCAUUGGGUUUAAAGGGUGCGUAGGCGGCUUUUUAAGUCAGUGGUGAAAUCUUGCCGCUUAACGGUAAAAUGGCCAUUGAUACUGAUAAGCUUGAGUACCAUUGAGGUAAGCGGAAUGUGUAGUGUAGCGGUGAAAUGCUUAGAUAUUACACAGAACACCGAUUGCGAAGGCGGCUUACUAAACAGUCACUGACGCUGAUGCACGAAAGAGUGGGGAGCGAACA